UACAGAGGUCUCAAGCGUUGUUCGGAAUUACUGGGCGUAAAGGGCUCGUAGGCGGCCAACUAAGUCAGACGUGAAAUCCCUCGGCUUAACCGGGGGAACUGCGUCUGAUACUGGUUGGCUUGAAUCCGGGAGAGGAUGUGGAAUUCCAGGUGUAGCGGUGAAAUGCGUAGAUAUCUGGAGGAACACCGGUGGCGAAGGCGGCAUCCUGGACCGGUAUUGACGCUGAGGAGCGAAAGCCAGGGGAGCAAAGCGGG
rnacentral:rRNA from 1 species